rnacentral:pre_miRNA from 1 species
AGAGGAAUAUCUGGGUCAAAUGGUGGUUCCAUUCCCAGGUUUUCAAGGAAUCUCCAUACUGCUUUCCAAAUUGGCUGCACCAAUUUGCAGGCCCACCAGCAGU